rnacentral:lncRNA from 1 species
AAUAUUCGAUUCUUGCUUGAUCACACAUCUAUUUUUAAAUUCAUUUUCAAUUUUCAUACUCAAGCUCGAGUUAUACAUAUUCAAGCUCAAACUCGGCUUGAUAUUAAGCUUAGAGUCAAUAAUUUAUAUUGAGGGAGUAAUGUAAUUUAAUAAUAUAAAAUAUUAGAAACAAAAAGCUCAAUAAGACUUGCGAGCUAUUCGAGCUAAGUAUUUUUAAGCUCAAGUUUAAACUUAGCUCGGUAAUUAUUGAAUUGAAUUCGAAUUUUUUAUUUAGGUAUGUAAUAAGGCCCAAUUGGCCCAGACUAUUUACAAGACAAAAAAUGGGCCGUCCAGGCCCAAUAGUCCAAAACCUAGCUCACCUAGCAUCCUAAACUUCCCAAACCCUAGCCCCAUGUUCAGUUCAGCGCCGCAAGCCCCCACGACGCGCUCCACCUCCGACAACUCCAAUCGACGCAUGUUUCGGAGCCAACUCCCCCGCGCAUCACGCCCCUCGCCGCCGUGAAUCUCGCGCACGCACGUACCUACAACAAGCGAAUGAGAGGAGCAAAAAAUCGGGCCAACCGAAUAGAUUUUUUGGUUUUCAUUUUUUCUUUCCCAUUUUCGGCUAUUUAAAAAGCCAUUUGUAAUCUGUAAAAGGGGAGGGGGGGAAAUACCGAAAGAAAUUGAAAGGCAAAUAGAUUUUUCUUUUUGAAAGACAAAGGUUUUCUUUCUCUCUGGUUUUUACCUCAUUGAGAUUAUCAUUCUUUUAUUUUGUUUCAUAUAUACAUAUCUUUUUUUUUUCUAUAGAGUUUCUUUUUAUUUUUAUUUAUUUUUGUUUAAAAUAUAAAGAAAAGGGACGAACAUACCUAUUUUCGUCGGAAUCGCUGAGUUGGCGCCCCUCUCCGUCGCGAUGGGAGACCGGGGCGGCCGUGGCAUGCCUCGAUUGGCGGCGGCGGCAUAAAGGAGGAACCCUAGCAGAG